ensembl:lncRNA
GGGAAGCACAACAAUUCAAACUGGGUCAACAUCUACCACUGGAACAACUACCCAAACCAACAACUACUACAGUGGGGCCAACAAGUACAACAACUGAAGGUAGCACAACAACUAAAUUUUCGUCAACAUCUACCACUGGAACAACUACCCAACCAACAACUAUUACAGUGGGGCCAACAACUACAACUCCUGUAUCAAGUACAACAACUGAAAGUAGCACAACAACUAAAAUUGAGCCAACAUCUACCACUGGAACAACUACCCAACCAAACAACUACUACAGUGGGGCCAACAACUACAACUCCCGUGUCAAGUA